UCAUACAAGAGGAUACUGGGUGCAUGACUUUGGGGGUACUAGGCUCGGAUUCUACAGAACCUCUCCCUAGCAGGCUUCCCUAGGGAAGGGGGAUGCAGCAGUAGCUUCCUCAGUCAUUAAAAGCUAAGAGAUGGUAAGGGCAGCCUGGGAUCCCAGAGGGAGGCCCAUCAGUGAUGCUCCCGUGUGUUCCUGCCAGCACAGGACCAGGAUCGGUACCUUCUCCAAGCUCCGCAUAGGAGGACCCCAGCUCAAGCCUUCCCUGAGCAUCGCUGGCAGCUCUUGGCUAGUGGGCCGAGGGAGACUCUUCCCCCCCCCCCCUCCCUGCGCUUCCCUUCCCUACCCGGGCUGUAUAUUGCACAGGACAAACACUUAGGAGCCAUCGGCUAUGAGUCCCCCUGGGCCUCAGAGGAAGCAGGAGGCACUAGGGUAAGGGGGGGAGAUUCUGGGGAUGAGGGAUGUUCCAGAAGGCUGCCAAGAAGCUUCAGGGUGGGUGAGCAGGCUUCUUUCUCCUGGACGUUCCAUGGCAUCCGGAGUCUUCAGUUGAAACAAGAAACUUCUGGACACUUCUAAAUCUUGGAGCUAGUUAUCCCUCCAACCCUCUGUGAUCGGUACCCAGGUAGCUGGAAAGG
rnacentral:lncRNA from 1 species